GAUGAACGCUGGCGGCGUGCCUAAUACAUGCAAGUCGAGCGAACAGAUUAGGAGCUUGCUCCUCUGACGUUAGCUGCGGACGGGUGAGUAACACGUGGAUAACCUACCUAUAAGACUGGGAUAACUUCGGGAAACCGGAGCUAAUACCGGAUAAUAUAUUGAACCGCAUGGUUCAAUAGUGAAAGACGGUUUUGCUGUCACUUAUAGAUGGAUCCGCGCCGCAUUAGCUAGUUGGUAAGGUAACGGCUUACCAAGGCAACGAUGCGUAGCCGACCUGAGAGGGUGAUCGGCCACACUGGAACUGAGACACGGUCCAGACUCCUAAGGGAGGCAGCAGUAGGGAAUCUUCCGCAAUGGGCGAAAGACUGACGGAGCAACGCCGCGUGAGUGAUGAAGGUCUUCGGAUCGUAAAACUCUGUUAUUAGGGAAGAACAAAUGUGUAAGUAACUAUGCACGUCUUGACGGUACCUAAUCAGAAAGCCACGGCUAACUACGUG
rnacentral:rRNA from 1 species